ACCCCCAAUCUCACCCUUCUCUCUCUCACCACUCACAUAGAACCCGUGCGCCGCCGCCUCCGACCUAAACCUAACUCGACCGCGCCGCCGCCCGUCCGCUUGUUCCCUCGCGCCACAUCAACUCCAACCCUGACCUUCCUCCCCGCAGGGCACCAUCCGCCCAGGAGCAGCAGCUCCAUCCGCUACGCUAAGGAGUAGCAACGCUGUCAAGCGCCACCGUACAGGAGCAGCAGCGCCGUCAAGCGCCACCAGACAGGAGCAGCAGAACCGUCCACCAGUAAGGAGAAGCAAGGCCGUCGGCCGCCGAGGAUCCAACGCUGGUUUUCCUCCACCUGUGGCCUCUGUUCCGGCUGAUUUCCUUCCCUCCGCCCGGCCUGAGGUGGUGGGGGCAAGUGAAGAAUUUACAUCGGUUCUGUUACAGGAACAGAGGAUGGUCCUCCUAAGCUGCUUAAUGGUACAAUUUGUAAUGUCAUUAUGAACAUUGGAUGCAUUAGACUGUCAUAAUACCUAGUUUCUAUCGAAAAGUAAGUGUGUACGUGCAACGCACGUCGCACAUCUCAAUCAAACCAUAUCAAAUUUUGCGGGUAUAAAA